rnacentral:rRNA from 1 species
UACAGAGGAGCCAAGCGUUGUCCGGAUUGACUGGGCGUAAAGCGCACGCAGGCGGUCGCGCGCGUGGGGUGUGAAAUCUGGCCGCUUAACGGCCAGGCGCCAUCCCAUACGGCGCGACUGGAGUGAUGCAGAGGUCGGUGGAAUUGCCGGUGUAGUGGUGAAAUGCGUAGAGAUCGGCAGGAACACCCAGGGGGAAGCCAGCCGACUGGGCAUCAACUGACGCUGAGGUGCGAGAGCGUGGGGAGCGAACCGG